UGGGGAAUAUUGCACAAUGGGCGCAAGCCUGAUGCAGCCAUGCCGCGUGUAUGAAGAAGGCCUUCGGGUUGUAAAGUACUUUCAGCGGGGAGGAAGGGAGUAAAGUUAAUACCUUUGCUCAUUGACGUUACCCGCAGAAGAAGCACCGGCUAACUCCGUGCCAGCAGCCGCGGUACUACGGAGGGUGCACGCGUUAAUCGGAAUUACUGGGCGUAAAGCGCACGCAGGCGGUUUGUUAAGUCAGAUGUGAAAUCCCCGGGCUCAACCUGGGAACUGCAUCUGAUACUGGCAAGCUUGAGUCUCGUAGAGGGGGGUAGAAUUCCAGGUGUAGCGGUGAAAUGCGUAGAGAUCUGGAGGAGUACCGGUGGCGAAGGCGGCCCCCUGGACGAAGACUGACGCUCAGGUGCGAAAGCGUGGGGAGCAAACAGG
rnacentral:rRNA from 1 species